CAUUCUCACGCGUGACUGGGUGACUCCCGGUUUGGGUCUGAGGCUUCUGGCUGUGUCGGAAUUUUCCCGGCCCUCUCCUGAUGAGAGAACCUGUCCGUGUGGGGGUGUGACUGACCACUGACCCUGGGGGCCCAAUCACUGACCCUGACCUUGGAGUGCAGCCCCCCCUCAACCUUCAUUGGAUGGAAUUAUCCCCUGAAUUUCUUGUUCCCCAAUAAAAGGCUACUCCCUGGCGUGUUCACUCUCUCUCUCUCUCCUGCUAGCCCUGAGUAAUCCUUGCUGCCCUGCUGGGCGGUUAGAGGUCCCAGCCAGAGAGGGGAGCCGUCUCGGACCUGGCAAUAGAAAUAAGAAUCUGGUAUGUGAAGAGAGUCACAGAAAUUCCCUUCUUCAAGUUCCAGCCCUGAUGUACAGACCCUGAGAUCCAAGGGGCUGGGUGUAUGGAACCCAACUGCUCAGAUCUUCAGGGAAUCCUGUUGCAAUAUCUCCAUUUAGACCCUCAACAACACCACCCACAGCUAAUAGUCAAAUCCCUGUAAAUGUUUUGAUCUUUAUUUCUCUUCCAGAGAAGAAAGCAAUACCCAAUCUGUUGUUUAAGAAGAUUAAAGGGGGCUGAAGUUUGGCUCAGUGGAAAAGUGUUCUCCUAUCAUGCAUGAGGCACUGGGUUUGAUCCUCAGCACCAUAUAGAAAUAAAAUAAAAAUUUUGUGUCCACCUAAAACUAAAAACAUAUUUUUAAAGGUUAAAAAAAAUCUCUAAAGGCCAUGACACUGCACUGUAACCAUGAUUGGGUGGACCAUGGUUUUCUUAAAUGAAGAUGGUGGACCACAAUGUGCAUAUCCCCAUAAGCCGGAUAAGACCACUAGAUGGCAAGAGUGUGUGUGUUUGUUUAUUUUUUUUUUUCUUUGCUAGUGGUGGGUGCUUUGCAGGUGGAUCUGGCUUCUCUUUGUUGCUCCCAUCAGAGUCCCUGAAGUGUUCCUCACUGAGGCAGAUUUUACUGCAGAUACCAGGAAGUGAUAUGAAGCCAGAGUCUUUGACUACAGGGAGCAAUGGCUAUAGGAUUUUAAUAGAAAUUUUUUUCAGAAUGAUACAGGUCUCCUCCCCAUACACGAGAGGCUGACAAUUUCUCCACAGCCUGAAGUCCUGGUGGUGGCAGAGCUAUGGUCACAGGCCCUAAUAAUACCAAUCUGGAGGAGGAAAGUGGAGACAGGAUAUUUUCUUCUCAUGAAAAGUAUAUUAUGCUUUUAUGAACACCCAGAACAUAUGGCCUGCCUUCUUUGAUGCUUUAAAGUGUUGAUUGAGAAGGUAAAUGAGAAGGUGGGAAGAUAACUCGAAUUUGAAUCUUGAGUCCAAGUCUAGCUCUACUCCAGACUAUUGUGGCCUUUAUCUGCUCCUGUGCCUCUUCUGCAACCCACAUUUUCAUCCAUGGCAGAAGAGACUGUAUGCAACAGGAACAGUGCUUGCACAAUUCCCACAUCCCAGGAGCAGUGCUCCUCCUUCCCUCAAACUUCUGGCAGCCCUUUGUGUUUCCCAGCACUAAGAUGGGAGGGCUUAACAGAAAGCAGGGGCUUGGGUGCCUCCCCAUGACUAAAACCCAGGAGUGCAGGUUACAGACGCAGUUGCCCUGGCCCUUUUGAGAAGCUGUAUAUGUUUGACAUUGUAGUAAGAGUGCCUUGGGUUUGUUUUAAUCAGGUAUGGGAGACUCACAUAAACACAUGGACUGUCACAGAGAUCUACAGUUUUCCAUAAGCAGAAGUGCAGAGCCAUUUGGGAAGCUUCAGGGUUGGUCAAGAGAUGAGCAUGUGGAAGGUGAUGGAGAACAUGGGAAAGAGACUUUCCUGUAUUUGUGCAGGAAGAUGAGACAGCAUAAGUGAAUUUAGUGUUAGUAUGUUAUAAUUUUAGUUAGCUUUAGGGGGCAUGGACCAUCUCUGGUAUUCUGGUACCUGACAUGCUGUGAUUAGAUCAAACAAAAACUGGCCUUGGAUGGUAGGAGAACAAUAGGGAGGAUAGUGGUGGUAUGGAAAUUAUAUUGUUUAAUUUGCACAAGGUGAACAACUUGGGGAUUUGGCUAACUAUUGCUAAGAAUUAGCUCUCUCCAAAAGGUCAUGACUGGGUGCAGUGGUCCGUGCCUGGGUAGUGGUACAUGCCUGUAAACCAAGUGACUCAGGGGACUAAAACUGGUGAACUGCAAGGUCAAGGCCAGCCUGAGCAUUUUAGAAAGACCCUGUCUCACAGUAAAAUUUUAAAAAACACAUAUAGGGAUCUUGUUCAGGUAUAGUAGAACAACUGUACAAUGCUCCUAAGUUAAAUCCCCAGUACCUUCCUCUGCCCCAACAUACACCCACCCACCCACACACACACAAGCAAUCUAAGAAGUCAUUCCCUUCAUGGUCAGCAAAGCACCAUUGUCAAAGAAAGAGAGUCCCAAUAUAAAAAGGCCUUGGUAACACAAAUACUGUUUAUUUCCACAAAAAAAGACAGUGACUCUAGUUGUUUCUAGCAGCCUGCUCUCUGCUCCCUCAGGCAAGGGUCUGUGUUUAUAAUCUUCUAGGUCACAUGCUUCAUGGACCCUAAGCAGCCUUGUGGGUGACUACAGAGCAGCAAGACUCCUUGUUUUAAUGGAGUAUCUUCUGGUGAGGCAUAAAGCUUGGCCAGCAGAGCAGAGAAUUCUGAUGCCAGUCAACAAUCUCUCCUCUGUCCUUUGAUCCUCCAUUUGUCACCAGGUGAUACCUGUCUGGGGUGAGCUCAGGAUGUUUGGGACAAGGACAUACUACUCAGGUAGAGAGAAGAGGACAGUGGCCUGGAUUUGCAUGGCAUUGCAUCUCACUGGAGGUUUAUUCUCUCAGAUGGCACUUUGGAAGGGGAAAGUGAAGCACUGCACAGAACACUCGGGAAUGUGCAGGAUCAGAAGUGAAAGGUUUUCUUUGUAGGUGGCAAGAUUAUGUCCCAGGCCACCACCUCCAGCAUGGGGCUGCAGAUUCUGAUGGCUUGCAUAUUUGUGUGUGUGUAUGUGUGUGUGUGUGUGUGUGUACUUGUGAAUGCAGGUGAAAUGCUCAAUGACCCAAUGUGCAUUCUUGGGAUAGAAGAGGUAGAAAGACUACUUACUCAACGGGGUUCCUGCUUAGGAAGAAUCUUGCCUGUUGUUCAAGCAGGGGCAUCAGUCUCAGCAUUGAUAGACUGACCUGGGACUGGUAAGCUUUGGGAAGGUUGGUAGAACUCUUUGACAGAGGUUUAGUAGCACCACAAUGAGGCCCAAAUUAAUAAUUCUCCUGCUUGCAGGCUUUAGGUUUCUUCUGAUAAUAUGCUGUGUGUCUCCCUCUGCUCCUUCUUUUGUGUCUUCCCUCCCUUCCUCACCUACUGGGAGACAAUAACUGUGCUUAAAGCACUGGAGAGAAAAUAAUAAAUUAGAAAAAUACUAGUUCUUUUUUGUGUGAAAUAUAUGAUCUACCCAGGGUUCCUGAGCCUUAGCAUGGUUAAACUUAGAGACCAAAGACUUGUUUUUGGUAAGGGGCUUGCCCAUCAUGAUGAUGUUUAGUAAUCCUAUUCCCUACCUUGAAAAUCAGAAAUGCCUCUAGAAGGCCCAAUGUCCACUGGGUGUGACCACUGCCAUGGCUGAGAACUCUGAGCAGUGGGGCACGAAGCUUAGUCCACACCUGCAGUGGAGUUUGCAUGGAUGUCUCUGUGUCUACUUGGGGUCUGUUCAGGGUCUGCUACUGCUCACAGAGUUUGGGUUAGUGGGACUUGCAGGGGGUUUAAUGCACACCUAUUGUGAGAGAGUAAUUGACCAGAGGCUAUCAAAUAAAACCACCAUCAACAAAGGCACCAUCUUAAUAUUGUGAGAUUAUCAUGCAGAUAUUUCUGUUACAGCAAAAGUCAGUGGAGGUAUCUGUGCUUUAUAGCACUAUGGUGACCACUCAGUAACU